GUGCUCGCUUCGGCAGCACCUAUACUAAAAUUGGAACAAUGCAGAGAAGAUUAGCUUGUUCCCCGCGCAAGGAUGACACCCAAAUUUGUGAAGUGUUCCAUAUUUUU
rnacentral:snRNA from 1 species